rnacentral:misc_RNA from 1 species
CCGUAUCAUCGGUGCAAGCAGCACGACCCGUGUGUGGCGCGGGCGAAGGUCUUCAACCAUUGCGCGGCGACACAGCACUCGAUACAAACACACACACACACACACACACACACACACGGGCCAUGUACAACGGUGUGGAAGCUGCCGCGGUCAAGGGUACCGGGCUGAGUGGCUAUGUUCAGCGCAGCCGCGUGAACGUGUUGGCGACGGGCCGCGUGCCUGCCGAGGAGGGCGCGGCGGCGAUGGAGGGUGGGGCGUCCAUCAACCCCCUCGAGCAGCGCCGCGCACAGGGCGAGAACCGCGAGAUGGCGGCACGGCUUGAGUCUCAUCGCGCCUUGCGUGAGGUGCGACUGCGCGUCAUGCUCUACCGUGAGGAGCGCGAGGCGGCCGGGGUGGACCCCGUCACAAUGGACCGCGAGUGCGGCGAGCUCUACGACUCCUUGCUCGUCGCCGCCAAGCGCCGGCUGAAGGCGCAGCAGAAGACUGAGAACGCCAAGACAGUCGCUAAGUUCGCCGCCGCGUUCGGCGUGAAGGCCACGGCAGCGGUGACCACCUCAGGUGGUGGUGCAGGUAGCGGCAGCGCCUUCGACCGCUCCGUGCAGGAGGUGGAGAAGCACCGCACCGAGGAAGAGCGCCGCCGUCACCAGGAGGCGCAGCUCGUCGAGCACCUGAAGCGUAUGCGCCGCGAGGGCAGCGACGCAGUAGAGGGUGCGAACAUCUGCGACACAGAGGAGACAGGGAUUUAGCGAUGCGAAUGCGAGAGAGGGGAAAGGCAUUCAACGUCUUUCUCAUCCGCCGAGCCUGCGCCUCGAAGCCGGUGGGUGGAGGUGAGUGUGUGUGUGUGUGGGCGGGGAGGGAGGGAGGGAGGGAGGAGGCUGCGCGGCAUCGCCUCCCCUCCGCACCUCUGCUCUGCUCUGCUCCCUCAUGGUUUCUCAUCCUCUGUCCACCGCCUUUUCUCUGUGCUUCUGCGCACAUCUUUGGCCUCCGUCGCUUGAGCCGUUGUUGCAGUGGUGGCUGUCUGUGUGUGCGUGUGUGUGUGUCUGCAUGUCUCCCGUGCCUCUGUUCACUAGCGCCCUCCCCGUGUUGCCGCUGCGCCGCGCUUCCGCCGUUCAGCGCCUCCCUGCCCGCAGCGCUCCUCGUAAGCCUUCUGAUGCUUUAGCCAACGGACAUCAAUCCGUGCAUAGGGGCGCCUCUUUCUUUCUCAUGUCCCCCUUCCCCCACGCCCCCCUCCUCAGCGCCGUUCUGUGUUGGCCUGACUGCCAGCUCCCGAUUUACUGGGAUGCUGCUGCUGCUCUUGCGCAACCCCUCACUUCUCUUCCCCUUCUCUCUUCUCCACCGGCUAUGCGGGAGACAGCCAACCGAUCCACGCACGCACACGCACGCGUAGGUUUGUGUGUCUGAGUGUGUGUGUGUGUGUGGGCACCGCCCUUCUCACAUCGUCCGUGAUAG